ACGGGAGGCAGCAGUGAGGAAUAUUGGUCAAUGGGCGGAAGCCUGAACCAGCCAAGUCGCGUGAAGGAUGAAGGUAUUAUGUAUUGUAAACUUCUUUAGCAGCAGAGUAAUAAGGGGGUCGUGACCCCCGAUGCAAGUAUGCUGAAAAUAAGGAUCGGCUAACUCCGUGCCAGCAGCCGCGGUAAUACGGAGGAUCCGAGCGUUAUCCGGAUUUAUUGGGUUUAAAGGGUGCGUAGGCGGGAUGUUAAGUCAGCGGUGAAAGUUUGCGGCUCAACCGUAAAAUUGCCGUUGAAACUGGCGUUCUUGAGUGUAAACGAGGUAGGCGGAAUGUGACGUGUAGCGGUGAAAUGCUUAGAUAUGUCACAGAACCCCGAUUGCGAAGGCAGCUUACCAGCAUACAACUGACGCUGAGGCACGAAAGCGUGGGUAUCAAACAGGAUUAGAUACCCUGGUA
rnacentral:rRNA from 1 species